UAGGGAAUUUUCGUCAAUGGGCGCAAGCCUGAACGAGCGAUGCCGCGUGAGUGAAGAAGGCCUUCGGUCGUAAAGCUCUGUUGCGGGGGAAAAAAAGGCAGCAUCAGGAAAUGGGUGCUGACUGAUGGU
rnacentral:rRNA from 1 species